rnacentral:lncRNA from 1 species
CUCUACCCCCUUAGCCACCGUUUGGUUCGGAGUUAAGUAAAAACUUGUUAUUUCAGAAAUAGAGUUAAGUUCAAGAUUAAGGUGGGGUUAGAAUAAUUUUGUGUUUGGUUGAAAAUUGAGUUUAGCCCAGAUAUAGAUAAAAUAAUAUUUGAUUGGAAUAGUUAGGAUAAAAUGGAUAGUGAAUAAAAUAGUACUUUGUUUGGUUGGAGUAGUGAGGCCACCCCCCAAAUUGGGUGUUUGGGAAUAAGUUCGGGGUUAAGGGGUUAUUCCGCCUCUUAACCAACCAAACGGGUGCUUAGAGUUUAAUUAAUUAAUUGUUUUUUCGGUUUUAAUAUCGAAAAAAAAGAAGAGUGAAAAGAUAAGUGGGAUAAUUUUAGGCAUUGAAUAGCGAUGUUGUAAGAUU